rnacentral:rRNA from 1 species
UACGUAGGAGACGAGCGUUGUCCGGAAUUACUGGCGUAAAGCGCGUGUAGGCGGAUGGGCAAGUCUGCUGUGAAAGCUCCUGGCUUAACCGGGAGUGGUCGGUGGAAGCUGCCAAUCUGGAGGACGGUAGAGGUAGGUAGAAUUCCCGGUGUAGUGGUGAAAUGCGUAGAGAUCGGGAGGAGUACCUGUGGCGAAGGCGACACGCUGGGCCGUACCUGACACUGAUGCGCGACAGCAUGGGGAGCAAACAGG